UAUUAUACUAAAAUUUAAUAAAAACUAAAAUAUUAUAAGAUAUAGUCUUUAAAUUUAAAGAAUUUGGCGGUAAUUUAGUCUUUCCAGAGGAACCUGUUCUGUAAUCGAUAAACCACGAAGAAUCUUACUUAUUCUCUUAAGAUUAAAAGUUUGUAUACCGUCAUUAUUAGAUAAUAUUUAGAGAUAGAUUUAUUAUUAAAAUUAAAUAUUUAAGUAAAUUAGAUCAAGGUGCAGCUUAUGAAUAAGUUUAGAAUGGGUUACAAUUAAGUUAUAUAAAAAUGAAAUAAAAUUUGAAAAAAUUUUAGGAAGGAGGAUUUGGUUGUAAUAGGAAUUAAUAAGAUAAAAAGAUAUAAGCUCUAAAUUAU
rnacentral:rRNA from 1 species